rnacentral:rRNA from 1 species
GAUGAACGCCGGCGGUGUGCCUAAUACAUGCAAGUCGUACGCACUGGCCCAACUGAUUGAUGGUGCUUGCACCUGAUUGACGAUGGAUCACCAGUGAGUGGCGGACGGGUGAGUAACACGUAGGUAACCUGCCCCGGAGCGGGGGAUAACAUUUGGAAACAGAUGCUAAUACCGCAUAACAACAAAAGCCGACAUGGCUUUUGUUUGAAAGAUGGCUUUGGCUAUCACUCUGGGAUGGACCUGCGGUGCAUUAGCUAGUUGGUAAGGUAACGGCUUACCAAGGCGAUGAUGCAUAGCCGAGUUGAGAGACUGAUCGGCCACAAUGGAACUGAGACACGGUCCAU